UUAGACAAACAUGGAUAAAUCUCUCAUGAACACUGAAAAUCCACUCUUGUCAUUAACUACAACUCACCAGUCCCGGAAUUCACAAAUAGCACUCUGACAAUAGACUUAAGAGACCAGUCAGAAAUGUCUUAAUCUUCCCCCUUAAUAUUUUGGACUUCCUUAAGAAGUUGGUCCUCAGUCAUGGAGCCUGUCUCAUUGCACAAAACUGGGGGAGAUCCUGGCCCUGGCCACCCUGAACUCUCACUUGCUUUUCUUGGAAUGUGAGAAGUUUUGGUCUAAACUCAACCUCCGUCCUCCCCGGGCUCCACCCGCAGCCCCUUGUGCUCUGGGGAACCCGUUGGCAGGGAUGGCCCGUGCCCUGCUCCUGUGGUGAACGGUUGGUUGACUAGCGAUGCUGAAGAUUUCGCCUCCUGAAGCUUCACGGGAUUAUGUGCACAAACUCCUGGGAUUCUAUCAAGUCCUUCACGUUUCAUGUGAGACUGACUUGAUUUUGUGCACAUCUCUGAACCUCACACCAAUGACUUUUUCAGCUUUAAUCAAAGCUCCUUUUUGCUUGAACACCUUCUGCACCGCCUGGACUCCUCACAGCAGUUCCCAGGGUGCUUUUUCUUGUUUACACACAGACUCUCUGGCAGCCUUAGUCAUAUCACAAUUCUAAAUCUAUUGAACUUGGCGUUCUACAUUUUUGAAGUUUUGGUUAAAUUUUCUAAGAAGCAUUGCCUUUUUAGACUGUUCUAUUUUCUCUUUAUUCCAGCAGCAGCACUAGAAGUUGAUGGUCUUUGGGGAACACGUUUUACAAACAAAUGGAAUUGAUCACUGUGAGUCGGUCAGUGAAUAUCUGCAAGGUACAAACCAACAAACUGUUUUGACAUGUGGUCACGGGCAUGUGUAGACACAAGCAGCUGUUGGCUCCCCUCUGGCUAAGUGACUCCACCUUGUGGAAUAGACUCUGAGGCCGCAGGACUCAAAUACAGCCUCAGGAGCAUUAUAACAUGUGCUGCGCCCUCGCGGUUACUCAUGAGGCAUGAAACCAUGAACGCUGAAUACUGAAAUUCCACAACAGUACAUCCUGCUUGUCACUUAAUAUUUUAUCCUAAGCAUUUCCCUAAGUCAUUAUAGUCGUUAAAUAGUUGCCUGGCAACUUAGUGAAUGGCUUUAACAUCUCUCAUUAUGUGGAUAUGCCAUGUGUUAGCCAUUCCCCUACUCUUGGGACAUUUCAGUUGCUUAAUGCCUUCUAAUUCAGCUUCCCCAUGUGCAAAAAUAGGGCUAAGAGCAGAAAUGUUCUGCCUCUGUCCGCUCUGAAACAUGAGGUGCAGACAUUCCAAGGCGGGCUUUAAAGAAAGCUCGGCGUACUGGAGGGCCAGCUUCCAGGCUGUCAGGACAUGUUGGAGCUCACCAAAUAGUGCACCCUCCCCUCUGCAAAGUACACAGAUACUCACGUCUAAAUAAGUUGUAAAUUGGGUUCCUUAUUAGAUUAACCCAUUGAGGGAAAAAGGAAACAGGUGGUCGGACAGAAUCAAGAAUAGAGGCGUGGGGGGACAUGAGGCAAGAUCCGAGGAGCACCCCCGGCCCCGUAGAAAGGACUUCGAGUGGCUGCCCAGCAGUGCAGGAGGAGGGCCAGCGAACGGGGGCUGCGAAGCCUGGUCAUACACGAUCUCCGUCCAGAUUCGUGAACUUGGCAAAGGACCUUCUCUUUGUGCAGUAAGGGGGUUGGGUUCUCAAGUGCCCUUCCAGGUCUGGCACUUCCCGCAUAGCUGAUUGACUCCUGCUGUGGGCUCCCCCAGCAAUCACAUAUUGCCUCUGUCCUAAAGGACCUGAAGAAUAAUUAAAAACAGUUUGAUGAGUUCAGUUGAGAUAUAGAAAUCCAAGA
ensembl:lncRNA